rfam:Thioclava pacifica DSM 10166 contig3, whole genome shotgun sequence.
GCGGAUGGCCGGAUGACCGCGAGCGCCCGUAACCCCGCGUCCAGCGGGUAGUCGGGGGCCCGAGGAAAGUCCGGACUCCAUGAAGCGACGGUGCCGGGUAACGCCCGGGCGGGGCAACCCGACGGAAAGCGCCACAGAGAUGAAACCGCCCUGCUAUGGCAGGGUAAGGGUGAAACGGUGGGGUAAGAGCCCACCGCGGGACUGGCAACAGGACCGGCACGGCAAGCCCCACCGGGAGCAACGCCGAAUAGGGAUCGCGCGCCGCGCUCGGCAACGGGUGACGGCAGGGGAGCUUCGCCCCGAGCGGUCCGGGUUGGCGGCUGGACCCCGUGAGCAAUCGCGGGGCGAGAGGAAUGGUCAUCCAUGGGGCGCAAGCCCCGGGACAGAAUCCGGCUUACAGGCCAUCCGCGCAA